rnacentral:rRNA from 1 species
GUGGGGAAUAUUGGACAAUGGGCGCAAGCCUGAUCCAGCCAUGCCGCGUGAGUGAUGAAGGCCUUAGGGUUGUAAAGCUCUUUCACCGAUGAAGAUAAUGACGGUAGUCGGAGAAGAAGCCCCGGCUAACUUCGUGCCAGCAGCCGCGGUAAUACGAAGGGGGCUAGCGUUGUUCGGAAUUACUGGGCGUAAAGCGCACGUAGGCGGAUAUUUAAGUCAGGGGUGAAAUCCCAGAGCUCAACUCUGGAACUGCCUUUGAUACUGGGUAUCUUGAGUAUGGAAGAGGUAAGUGGAAUUGCGAGUGUAGAGGUGAAAUUCGUAGAUAUUCGCAGGAACACCAGUGGCGAAGGCGGCUUACUGGUCCAUUACUGACGCUGAGGUGCGAAAGCGUGGGGAGCAAACAGGAUUAGAAACCCCAGUAGUCC